GGUGGGCAAGGCCAGGGGUAUAUUAACCCCAGCCUUUGCUCAGGGAGUUCAUUCAGCAGCCGGGCUUUAAUGAGGAGCCUUGCAUCUUUUAGCAUCUCCUGAUCAUCUCAACUGCAGUUUGGCAUUUUUUCACAAGUGUGAUCCAGCCCCGAGAUGAAGCUGCUCUGUGUUGAAGAUGGCUACAGACAGAUAUUCUGUGUGAUGAUGGCCACAGUCUUCAGCUGCAGGCAGUGACCCUAGGUGGUUUGCCUAAAGAGAAGGGAGACUCCUUCAGCUCUCCCUGUGCACCUGGGUGACUUCGGUACAUCAUUUCUUUUCCACGUCAGAGGGACAGGGUGUAAAGCAGAGUUGAACAGAACGGAGGCCAGAGGAGCAGAGCAAGAAGCUGCAGAGCCCUGGGCCCAGGAGGCUCUAGGCACCGGAGGGGAGGUGAUCUGGGUGAGUACCUCUGAGCAAGGGGUUCUGCCACCUUCUCACAGACAGUCCAGUGCUUCAGGGCCCCUGUUGGUAAGAGGUCACUGUGGAGGAGAGGUAGGUAGGAGCUACCCCAGGAAAGCCAUCCUUUCAGGCAGUACCUCAGUCUGUACAUUUGCCUUUGGCUUUUUUACUUUGCAGAGAAUGUGUGCAGCCUCAGAGGGCUGGAGCCACCUGCCAAUUAGGUUUGAUGGUCUUCAUCUGUCCUUGUGAGUAAUCUCCUAGUACUGCGAGGCUCAUCAAUUAAGGCUGGACCUUUUCCAGUUGCAGGUGCCAUCACAUGAAAUGUGAGUGAGGAUGGAAAAGGUUUGUGUGUGUUUGGCAGUGGUUCUAACCUUGUGUUUGUGUUGUUUCAUGUUGUUCUUAGAUAAUUUAAGAUUUAGAAUAAAAAAAAAACCAG